CUUUGGGGAACAAGGCCCAGGCUCAACCACCUCCAUGAGGCGGGGUUUUCAAGCUGAGAGGCCGUGAGCGCCUAGAGUUGGGUGACCACAGGGAGAGUCCUUCCUGAGGGACAAGGGCCACCCGCGCAGCCCGCGCCGCCAGAGCCGGUGAGUUCUUGAACUUGAGAGAACCUAGGACGCACCUGGGCAGGUGCCUGGGUGGCGGCCCUUGAGAGUCAACAUAAGUCAACGAGGCCAAGACCGAACCAGCCGGCCUGAAAGUGCGCGAU
rnacentral:lncRNA from 1 species